AUUGAACGCUGGCGGCAGGCCUAACACAUGCAAGUCGAACGGUAACAGGAAGCAGCUUGCUGCUUUGCUGACGAGUGGCGGACGGGUGAGUAAUGUCUGGGAAACUGCCUGAUGGAGGGGGAUAACUACUGGAAACGGUAGCUAAUACCGCAUAACGUCUCAAGACCAAAGAGGGGGACCUUCGGGCCUCUUGCCAUCGGAUGUGCCCCGAUGGGAUUAGCUAGUAGGUGGGGUAACGGCUCACCUAGGCGACGAUCCCUAGCUGGUCUGAGAGGAUGACCAGCCACACUGGAACUGAGACACGGUCCAGACUCCUACGGGAGGCAGCAGUGGGGAAUAUUGCACAAUGGGCGCAAGCCUGAUGCAGCCAUGCCGCGUGUAUGAAGAAGGCCUUCGGGUUGUAAAGUACUUUCAGCGGGGAGGAAGGGAGUAAAGUUAAUACCUUUGCUCAUUGACGUUACCCGCAGAAGAAGCACCGGCUAACUCCGUG
rnacentral:rRNA from 1 species